AGGAUUGUAAUUUAAAAAAAAUAUUUGAUUUGCAUUCAAAAUAUAUUGAUAUAUUCAAUCUAUCUUA
rnacentral:tRNA from 1 species